UACGUAGGGUGCAGGCGUUAAUCGGAAUUACUGGGCGUAAAGCGUGCGCAGGCGGUUUGCUAAGGCAGGUGUGAAAUCCCCGGGCUUAACCUGGGAACUGCGCUUGUUACUGGCAGGCUUGAGUGUGGCAGAGGGGGGUGGAAUUCCACGUGUAGCAGUGAAAUGCGUAGAGAUGUGGAGGAACACCGAUGGCGAAGGCAGCCACCUGGGCUAACACUGACGCUCAUGCACGAAAGCGUGGGGAGCAAGCAGG
rnacentral:rRNA from 1 species